AUGAACUUACGAUAUUGUUAAACCACAAGCCUUCAAAGCCCUUUAAAAGAGUGGUACCUCUUUACUCCU
rnacentral:tRNA from 1 species